AGUCGGCGUGCCUUGCAGCUGUUGGCUUGACCCCAGGCCGGGACGGGCAGAGCGGAACACUGCCCGGCGGGUCCAGGCCGACCGUGCCUGUGGCUCUCCGGAACAAUAAACCCCCGGCCCCAGUGAUGUGGGCCAGACCGGACCUGGAGAGGCGGCACCGCGACCCCUCCCGCAACCCGCCUGGCGGCCGGGGGCAGCGUGACCCGGCCCGCUACCGUGUCACAGCUGGCGACUGACAAACAGCAGGCGACGUCGGGAGAACUCCCCGAGACACCCGAGACAUCAGCCUUCUCGCUCCGCGGCCCUGCAGGACCUGCCCGCCGGGAGCCCCGGAGUCCGCGGCAGCGCCGAGGGCCCCUCCCCCAGGCCUCUGGGCUCUGAGGUAACGCGGCCGCGGCUGCUCCCGGGCCCCUCGUCCCACUCGCCCCUCUCUUUUUUAUUUUUCCUCGCCCUCUCUCUCCCUUGCCCGUUCAUCUCGACCCUUUAGCAAGCAUGGAAGCCCAGCGAGGCGGGGGAUUGCUCGGAGGCCGAGCUCCCGGCAGCCUCCUCCGCCUUCCUUCCCGCUGUGCCCUCGGGGCUCCUACCUCCACCUCGGCGCGGCGCUCUGCCCCCACCCGAAGUCUCCAAGGCGGCAGCUCCCCUCUCCUGUGUGGUUCUUGGGGCCUUAGAGGCAAUGUCAUGAAAAAAAGGGUAUUAAUCACUUUCCUACAGAAAUGAUAAGAUGAGACUAAGUAGAAUAACUUGAAAGAGCUACGAGUUGUUAUUUUUGGAAGGAGAGAUAGGAACGCGUAAAUCCAAUAGCUAAACUUUCUAGACGCUGAAGAGUUUUUGGCGAUAGAUCAUUUUGACAUUGGGGGUUCAUAGGGUUAGCGUUUUUUGUGUUGUUGUUGCUGUUGUUUUUCCACUAGAAUUUUGAAUCGGAUUUUACCAGCAAUUGGUAACGGAAAGGAAAGGAUGUGUCUUCCAAUUGAGAAACAGUGGUUAAAAACUGAAAGUGGGCCGGGCGCGGUGGUUCACGCCUGUAAUCCCAGCACUUUAGGAGGCCGAGGCGGG
rnacentral:lncRNA from 1 species